GUGCUUGCUUUGGCAGCACAUAUACUAAAAGUAGAAUGAUUUAGAGAAGAUUAGCAUGGCGCCUGCUUAAGGCUGACACACAAAUUCGUGAAAUGUCCCAUAUUUUU